rnacentral:rRNA from 1 species
AUACGUAGGUGGCAAGCGUUGUCCGGAUUUACUGGGUGUAAAGGGCGUGUAGGCGGAGAUGCAAGUCAGGAGUGAAAUCUAGGGGCUCAACCCCUAAACUGCUUUUGAAACUGUAUCCCUUGAGUAUCGGAGAGGCAGGCGGAAUUUCUAGUGGAGCGGUGAAAUGCGUAGAUAUUAGGAGGAAAACCAGUGGCGAAGGCGGCCUGCUGGACGACAACUGACGCUGAGGCGCGAAAGCGUGGGGAGCAAACAGGAGUAGAUACCCUGGUAGUCCACGCUGUAAACGAUGAAUACUAGGUGUGGGGGGACUGACCCCCUCCGUGCCGCAGUUAACACAAUAAGGAUUCCACCUGGGGAGUACGAUCGCAAGAUUGAAACUCAAAGGAAUUGACGGGG